AUGAGACCCCCACGCACCCCCCCGUCCCUGACCCUUCUCCGUGUCCUCAGACGACGACCAGUCGGAGGACUCGGGCAGGGAGGCGGGCCGCCGCCCCGGCUCCCGCUCCUCCUCCUGCUUCCAGCCCGACGGCCACGCCUCCCGGAGCCCGGGGCCCCCCACGCAGGACGGCUCCUGCUCCUCCUCGGCCUACGACCUGGCCCGGCCCUUCUCGGCCUCGCCCUGCUCCGCCGACCGCCUGUCGGCCGACCACGUCCUACACCGCCAGCUCCUCUCGCCCUACUUCAAGAAGGAGGGCGGCGGCGGCCUCAUGGCCUUCCCCUCCGCGCUCUACGCCGCCAAGGCCGCGCUCAUGUCCACCACCGGCAGCCAGGGGGGGACCCCCGGGGCGGGGGGGGCAGGGGGCGGGGCCGGGGGCGGGGCCGAGGCCGGGCUGCCCAGCGACCAAUCGGAGAGCGGCGGCUCCACGGCGGGCGACGAGGACCAGCUGGACACGGCGGAGAUCGCCUUCCAGGUGAAGGAGCAGCUGCUGAAGCACAACAUCGGGCAGCGGGUGUUCGGCCACUACGUGCUGGGCCUGUCCCAGGGCUCGGUCAGCGAGAUCCUGGCGCGGCCAAAGCCCUGGAGGAAGCUGACGGUGAAGGGCAAGGAGCCCUUCAUCAAGAUGAAGCAGUUCCUGUCGGACGACCAGAACAUCCUGGCGCUCAGGACCAUCCAGGUCCGCCAGAGAGGGAGUAUCACUCCUCGCAUCCGAACUCCAGAAACUGGGUCAGACGACGCCAUCAAGAACAUCUUGGAGCAGGCCAAGAAGGAGAUCCAGUCCCAGAAGGGAGGUGAGUACGUAGGUGGGUGAACCACGCAAAAGGAAGCUCAGAACUUGUAUUUCUGAAUUUGUUUUUGCAUUUUUUGUUUGUAAAAAACGAUUUUCCUUUGUUGACUGAAAGAGGUAGUGGUAAGUGAGAGCAGUCAGGGCGGUGGUUGCCGUGGGUGACGUGACUUUGCGUGGCUCUCCUCACAAC
rnacentral:lncRNA from 1 species